rnacentral:lncRNA from 1 species
AGUGGAAUGAAAAACUUUUCGAAUUAUUGUGGGCAUGCCGAACUUCAGUAAAAAGGGCAACAGGGAUGACACCGUUUCAGUUAGUUUACGGUCAUAAGGCCGUAAUUCCAGCCGAGAUAACAGUUCCUUCUUUGAGGAUAGAAAAAUAAAAAGAUUUGUCGGCUGAUGAAUAUAGUAGUUUAAUGAUGGACAAAGCAGAAGAAGUAUGUGAUACUCGGUUAAUAGCUUUAGAUAAUAUGCAAGCAUACCAAAGCCGAGUGCGUAGCGCAUACAACAAGAAAGUUCGAUUAAAAAUAUUUGUCGUUGGUGAUUUAGUAUUUCGGCUGGUUUUUCCGAUCGGUCAAAAAGACCGAAUGUAUGGAAAAUGGUCCCCAAAUUGGAAAG